rnacentral:rRNA from 1 species
AGUAGGGAAUAUUGGACAAUGGGCGAAAGCCUGAUCCAGCCAUGCCGCGUGGACGAUGAAGGCCUUCGGGUUGUAAAGUCCUUUUAUAGGGGAAGAACAACUCAGGGAGGAAAUGCCCUGGGCCUGACGGUACCCUAUGAAUAAGCAACGGCUAACUCCGUGCCAGCAGCCGCGGUAAUACGGAGGUUGCGAGCGUUGUUCGGAUUUACUGGGCGUAAAGGGAGCGCAGGCGGCUUGGUCAGUCUAAAGUGAAAGUCCGGGGCUCAACCCCGGAAGUGCUUUGGAUACUACCAGGCUUGAGUACGUGAGAGGUGAGUGGAAUUCCAGGUGUAGCGGUGAAAUGCGUAGAUAUCUGGAGGAACACCGGUGGCGAAAGCGGCUCACUGGCACGAAACUGACGCUGAGGCUCGAAAGCGUGGGGAGCGAACGGGAUUAGAUACCCCGGUAGUCCACGCUGUAAACGUUGUGCACUAGGUGUGGGGGGUAUCGACCCCUCCCGUGCCGGAGUAA